rnacentral:ncRNA from 1 species
AGUUAAGUGACUAAGCGUACAAGGUGGAUGCCUUGGCAAUCAGAGGCGAUGAAGGACGUGCUAAUCUGCGAAAAGCUUGGAUGAGUCGAUAAGAGGCGUUUAAUCCAAGAUGUCCGAAUGGGGAAACCCAGUAGAUGAAGAAUCUACUAUCAACAAGUGAAUACAUAGCUUGUUGAGGCAAACCGGGAGAACUGAAACAUCUAAGUACCCCGAGGAAAAGAAAUCAACCGAGAUUUCGUUAGUAGCGGCGAGCGAACGCGAAGGAGCCUGUUAGUGAUAGCGACAGAGACAGAGGAACAAGCUGGGAAGCUUGGCGAUACCGGGUGAUAGCCCCGUACUCGAAGUCCAGGUCGUGGUACUAAGCUAACGAUAAGUAGGCGGGACACGUGAUAUCCUGUUUGAAGAUGGGGGGACCAUCCUCCAAGGCUAAAUACUCCUGAUUGACCGAUAGUGAACCAGUACUGUGAAGGAAAGGCGAAAAGAACCCCGGUGAGGGGAGUGAAAUAGAACCUGAAACCUUGUACGUACAAGCAGUGGGAGCCCUUUAAGGGUGACUGCGUACCUUUUGUAUAAUGGGUCAGCGACUUUAUAUUUUGUAGCGAGGUUAACCGAAUAGGGGGAGCCGAAGGGAAACCGAGUCUUAACUGGGCGAAUAGUUGCAAGGUAUAGACCCGAAACCCGGUGAUCUAGCCAUGGGCAGGUUGAAGGUUGGGUAACACUAACUGGAGGACCGAACCGACUAAUGUUGAAAAAUUAGCGGAUGACUUGUGGCUGGGGGUGAAAGGCCAAUCAAACCGGGAGAUAGCUGGUUCUCCCCGAAAUCUAUUUAGGUAGAGCCUUGAGCGGACACCUUCGGGGGUAGAGCACUGUUUCGGCUAGGGGUCCAUCCCGGAUUACCAACCCGAUGCAAACUACGAAUACCGAAGAGUGAUACUCAGGAGACACACGGCGGGUGCUAACGUCCGUCGUGGAGAGGGAAACAACCCAGACCGCCAGCUAAGGUCCCAAAGUCUAUAUUAAGUGGGAAACGAAGUGGGAAGGCUUAGACAGCUAGGAUGUUGGCUUAGAAGCAGCCAUCAUUUAAAGAAAGCGUAAUAGCUCACUAGUCGAGUCGGCCUGCGCGGAAGAUGUAACGGGGCUCAAAUAUAGCACCGAAGCUGCGGCAUCAGUGGCAACACUGUUGGGUAGGGGAGCGUUCUGUAAGCGGAUGAAGGUAGCUCGAGAGGGCUGCUGGACGUAUCAGAAGUGCGAAUGCUGACAUAAGUAACGAUAAAACGGGUGAAAGACCCGUUCGCCGGAAG